rnacentral:lncRNA from 1 species
GGAUGUAAGGGCGAUCUGGCUGUGACAUCUGUCACCCCAUUGAUCGCCAGGGUUGCUUCGGCUGAUCUGGCUGGCUAGGCAGGUGUCCCCUUCCUCCCUCACUUCUCCAUGUGCCUCCCUCCCGAAGCUGCGUGCUCAGUUGAAGAGGACGACCUUCUCCGAUAGAGAUGGUACUGUUCUUAUUAAAUAUGGAAGCCAGCUUGCAAGUGCAGCAGGUAUGCAUAGCCUGUUCAAUCCUUUUCUGCUUUUAGAUUUUCUGUUAUUAAGAAAAGGCUACAAAAGGUACUAGAAGAUGCCACCUCUUGUGGCUGUCU